rnacentral:lncRNA from 1 species
GGUUAUUGUCUGAUUCAAAGUCCAAAGGGAAAGUGAGGGUUAUAUAUGACAUUCUUGUCUGUUGGAUUGCAUUCCAUUGGUCAGAUCUUUUCAACUCUUAACUUUUAAAUUUGUGCUUAGGAUAGCCUCUUCAUCUCCUCCCACUUUAUUGAAUUUCAAAAUCUCUCCCCCCUUUUUCAAAAACCUUUUUUGCUUGUGAUUUCAAACUUAGACAUUGUUUAAUGAUUAGAAACUUUGGCCCUAUGCCACUGAAUUUUCAAACUCUUUCUUAAAAUCAAAUUUGUAAAUAAACUCAACUAUAUUGACUUAAAUUUCAAAACACAAAAAUAAC